rnacentral:rRNA from 1 species
CCUACGGGAGGCAGCAGUAGGGAAUCUUCCACAAUGGGCGAAAGCCUGAUGGAGCAACGCCGCGUGGGUGAAGAAGGUCUUCGGAUCGUAAAACCCUGUUGUUAGAGAAGAAAGUGCGUGAGAGUAACUGUUCACGUUUCGACGGUAUCUAACCAGAAAGCCCCGGCUAACUACGUGCCAGCAGCCGCGGUAAUACGGAGGUGGCAAGCGUUUUCCGGAGUUAUUGGGCGUAGAGGUAACGCAGGCGGACUUUUAAGUCUGAUGUGAAAGCCUUCGGCUUAACCGGAGUAGUGCAUUGGAGACUGUGAGACUUGAGUGCAGAAGAGGUGAGUGGAACUCCAUGUGUAGCGGUGAAAUGCGUAGAUAUAUGGAAGAACACCAGUGGCGAAAGCGGCUCACUGGGAUGUAACUGACGCUGAGGUUCGAAAGCGUGGGUAGCAAACAGGAUUAGAUACCCCUGUAGUC